rnacentral:rRNA from 2 species
GGGGAAUAUUGCGCAAUGGGGGAAACCCUGACGCAGCAAUACCGCGUGAGUGAAGAAGGUUUUCGGAUCGUAAAGCUCUGUUAUUGGGGAAGAAAAAAAGACGGUACCCAAGAAGAAAGUCCCGGCUAACUACGUGCCAGCAGCCGCGGUAAUACGUAGGUGGCAAGCGUUAUCCGGAUUUACUGGGUGUAAAGGGCGUGUAGGCGGGACUACAAGUCAGAUGUGAAAUUCCAGGGCUCAACCCUGGAACUGCAUUUGAAACUGUAGUUCUUGAGUGAUGGAGAGGCAGGCGGAAUUCCGAGUGUAGCGGUGAAAUGCGUAGAUAUUCGGAGGAACACCAGUGGCGAAGGCGGCCUGCUGGACAUUAACUGACGCUGAGGCGCGAAAGCGUGGGGAGCAAACA